UACGGGGGGGGCAAGCGUUGUUCGGAAUUACUGGGCGUAAAGAGCUCGUAGGCGGCCAACUAAGUCGGACGUGAGAUCCCCAGGCUCAACCUGGGAACUGCGUCCGAUACUGGAUGGCUUGAAUUCGGGAGAGGGAUGCAGAAUUCCAGGUGUAGCGGUGAAAUGCGUAGAUAUCUGGAGGAAUACCGGUGGCGAAGGCGGCAUCCUGGACCGACAUUGACGCUGAGGAGCGAAAGCUAGGGGAGCAAACGGGG
rnacentral:rRNA from 1 species